rnacentral:lncRNA from 1 species
UAAAUGACCCAUCCAGCAAUCAAGUCUUCCUGACCCCAAACCCAAUGCUCCAUCCAUUGGCUGGGAGAGACAACAGAGGUCACCUAACCCAACUGGCCCAUCUAAUGGAAAAGGAAAUGGAGUAUCAAAGAGACCAAGUGAUUUCUCAAGGUAAGAUAAGAGAUAAAUUUCAGUGCUAGAAUUUGAGUCCUGGUUUUCUGCUUCCAAAUCCUCUCUUCUUUCCCCUAAAAGGAAUAAGGAAUUACUGUGGCCAUUUGAUGGAUUAGUAAAUUGAGACUUUGAGAUGUUCAAUGGCUUACCUAAGAUCACAAAGUUCAUUGGUGGUCAAUCUGGGAUGCUUUCCUGUACUAUGCUGAUUUAUAUGAUGUGGGAACAUCAGAUAAUUGGCUGACUCUGCUUAGCUGUUCCAGCAUUAUGGAGCUAAUAGGAGAAUAGAUUCAGAUCACAAAAGUAAUUUCUAGGCUAUCUAGCCUAUAAGCUGUCUUCUGUUCCAGUGGAAGAACUAGGACCUUGAGAUAUUAAACGACUGGCCCAAAGUCACAUAGGUAGGCUGUAGAAGGGACUUUUUUUUUAAACCUUUACCUUCCAUCUUAGAAUCAAUACUGCUUAUUGGUUCCAAGGCAGAAGGACAAUAAGGGAUAGGCAAUGGGGGGUUGCAUAGUAAGGACGUAUCUGAGGGCAGAUUUUGGACCCAGGACCUUCCUUCUCUAGGCCUGGCUCUCAAUCCACUGAGCUACCCAGCUGCCCCUAAGAAGGGGCUUUUGAAUGUAGUAUUCUUUCUAUUGGGCCACACUUUGCUUUAACAAAUUUGACCUUCAGAUCUCAAGAUCCCUUCUGCAUUGUGAUUUCACA